rnacentral:rRNA from 1 species
UAAUGUAUGGGGAUCUGCCCGAUAGAGGGGGAUAACUACUGGAAACGGUAGCUAAUACCGCAUAAUGUCUACGGACCAAAGCAGGGGCUCUUCGGACCUUGCACUAUCGGAUGAACCCAUAUGGGAUUAGCUAGUAGGUGGGGUAAAGGCUCACCUAGGCGACGAUCUCUAGCUGGUCUGAGAGGAUGAUCAGCCACACUGGGACUGAGACACGGCCCAG